CGCCGGUUAGGGAGCUGAGCAGUGGGGGCUCGAGCGGCACGGCGUACGGAGCUCCGGUGAAUUCGGAAAGAGAGGGUUGGGGGAUGGGACGAUACGGGGGAGGUCGGAGGUGACAUUCCUGGGAGUUCAAUUAAAAAAGGCGGUCGGAGGAGCCAGGAAGACUCGCCCCAGCUGAAGCAGGACGAAGAGAGGAUUUCUGUUUGCCUUUGGAGGAACAGAGAAGAAACUAUCUCCAGCUGAAGGAGCCGGAAGGAAGUGAAGUUGCAACAGUUACAGGGAAAGCAGUCCAAAGCUGAAGAAACCAAGAGCUACGGUCUUUCACGGGAAAAGGACCGGCGAGGGACUUUGGCUGCAGGUUGACUUGCUCAGUGGCUUCGUCCGCUGCAGGGCAGUAAGCCAGGUACGAUGGUUAGCAGCACGAAUCACGAAGCAGCCGGUACAUCGCCGCCUGUCGUCAGCAGCCGGCCCUCCAGCUUGCCUCGUCACUCGCCAGGUGUCUCUGCCGGCGCUAAAAACAAGCAGCGGCGCCGGAGGAACCGCGACCCGUGGUGGAAGCGCUGGUGCUGCUGCGGCUGCCAGUGCUCGAUCGAGUGUGACUGGUGCGCCUCGGAAGACGAAGACGAAAACGACGGAAACGGGAGCGGAGACUCAAACGGCGGAGGUGUGCCGAGCGGAGAGGGAGAAGGGGAGGGAGAGGGAGGUGGAGAGGGAGGUGGAGGGGGAGGGGGAGGCGGUGGAGGAGAUGGGCACAGCAGUGACGAGGAGGAUGGAGACGCAGGGGAGGGCCAGAACGGCGACACGGGAGGUCAGGGCAGUGGACACGGAGGUCAGGACGCGGCCGGAGGUCACGAUAGCGGUGGGCAUGGGGGAGGUCGUAGCGGAGACCAUGACACAGGACACGGAGGCCACACCGGAGCUACAGGAGGGACAGCCAGCGGCGGGGGAGGACGCAGCGGGGGUGGGUUCAGCGGCUCUAGCCGCCACAACUUUAGCAGGUCCAGCGGUAGCCGACGGAGCAGUUUCAGCUUUGACCAUUCCAAUGGCGGCUCCUUCGGUGGCGACUCAGGAGGCGGUGAUGAUUAGGGACAGCUGUGUUUUCACGUAUUUCAGAGGUUAUGGCAAUAGUUAGGCCUCACCAACGCUACCCCCAGUAACAUGGUAGGUAGGCGUGGCCACUGUUGGCAUUGACGAGUUUCUUAUUGUUUUAUGAAUAUUAUAGAUUGUGGAUAACGAU
rnacentral:lncRNA from 1 species